rnacentral:rRNA from 1 species
CCUUUGACGUUAGCGGCGGACGGGUGAGUAACACGUGGGUAACCUACCUAUAAGACUGGGAUAACUUCGGGAAACCGGAGCUAAUACCGGAUAAUAUUUCGAACCGCAUGGUUCGAUAGUGAAAGGUGGUUUUGCUAUCACUUAUAGAUGGACCCGCGCCGUAUCAGCUAGUUGGUAAGGUAACGGCUUACCAAGGCGACGAUACGUAGCCGACCUGAGGGGGUGAUCGGCCACACUGGAACUGAGACACGGUCCAGACUCCUACGGGAGGCAGCAGCU